CUCAAAGACGCUCGGAGAGGCAGAGAAAGCAGCCGGCUCAUGUUCAUGAAGCAGAUGGAGUGAGUGUGUGAGAGUGAAGAAGGGAGGGAGGGUGAUGCAGAAUAAGAUGCCUUAAAGAUGUUACUGCCAGGAUGUACCAUCCUCAAGAUGCAAAUUCCACAACAGAGCCUAACAGAACAGAUUUAGGCUGUUCUGCCUGGCUGCCUCAGGCAAACUGUCAGAACCAUCCAGCUGUCCCUGCUGUCAGUCCGCUCUCUAUGUGAGUUAUGUAUCUCUAAAGCUCUUCACCUGUCCUUGGCUAAUUCCGAAUUGUGGCGACCCUCCUCCACCCCAUUCACCUGCAUUUCAUCACUUCCAGCGCCCGGUCUGAGCUCACUAGAAGCCUGCUCCUCUGCUCAUCCAGAUCUCAGCCAUUCUCUUCAUCCCUUCACGACCUCCACCAGUGUCUACACUCUAUCAGGGGGGUAUCCUACUUCACCAUCCAUGACAUCGCGAUGGGAUCUAAUCGCCAGACUAUUCACGUCAAUAAAAUG